UGGGGAAUAUUGGGCAAUGGAGGCAACUCUGACCCAGCCAUGCCGCGUGGGUGACGAAGGUCUUCGGAUUGUAAAGCCCUUUCGGCGGGGACGAUGAUGACGGUACCCGCAGAAGAAGCCCCGGCUAACUUCGUGCCAGCAGCCGCGGUAAUACGAAGGGGGCUAGCGUUGUUCGGAAUUACUGGGCGUAAAGGGCGUGUAGGUGGCUCUCUAAGUCAGGUGUGAAAGGCCUGGGCUCAACCCAGGACGUGCACUUGAGACUGAAGAGCUUGAGUCCGGGAGAGGAUGGUGGAACUCCCAGUGUAGAGGUGAAAUUCGUAGAUAUUGGGAAGAACACCCGUGGCGAAGGCGGCCAUCUGGACCGGUACUGACACUAAAGCGCGACAGCGUGGGGAGCAAACAGG
rnacentral:rRNA from 1 species